rnacentral:rRNA from 1 species
GACGAACGCUGGCGGCGUGCCUAAUACAUGCAAGUAGAACGCUGACGCGAGGAGCUUGCUCUUCUUGUCUGAGUUGCGCACGGGUGAGUAACGCGUAGGUAACCUGCCUUGUAGCGGGGGAUCACUAUUGGAAACGAUAGCUAAUACCGCAUAACACUGGAUGCCACAUUUCAUUUAUUUGCAAGGGGCACUUGCUCCACUACAAGAUGGACCUGCGUUGUAUUCGCUAGUAGGUGAGGUAAUGGCUCACCUAUGCGACGAUACAUAGCCGACCUGAGAGGGUGACCGGACACACGGGGACUGAGACAAGGCCCAGACUCCUACGGGAGGCAGCAGUAGGGAAUCUUCGGCAAUGGGGGCAACCCUGACCGAGCAACGCCGCGUGGGUGAAGAAGGGUGUCGGAUCGGAAAGCGCUGUUGUAGGGCAAGAACGGGUGUGAGAGUGGAAAGUGCACACUGUGACGGUAGCUUAACAGAAAGGGACGGCUAACUACGUG